GCCUGGGAGCUCCUCAGUGGUGAAACUCCUCCUCCUUCAAUCAGUGGUGAACCAGGUGGAACAAAUCUUCCAGGUAAUCUGAGCGUGCCAGUACCUGGCUCUGUUGUCUUUAGACCGCAGUCAAAGGAGCAUUUAAGGCACCACAAGACCAAGGAAACCAUCUUUGUCAUCAAGGUGACUGUGCAAGACCAAGCCUUCCACAAUACUGUGAAGGACAGCCGGUUUUUCACCUGUUUACUGCUAUCAAGGAAUGCAGUAGGAUGUGUUCGGCAAACUCUCGCACGGCUCCGUGACCCGCCUCUUUGUGGCAGAUGUAUUUGGCAUGGUUGAGCGCAACUGUUGGGG